GAUGAACGCUGGCGGCGUGCCUAAUACAUGCAAGUCGAGCGAACAGACGAGGAGCUUGCUCCUCUGACGUUAGCGGCGGACGGGUGAGUAACACGUGGAUAACCUACCUAUAAGACUGGGAUAACUUCGGGACACCGGAGCUAAUACCGUAUAAUAUAUUGCACCGCAUGGUUCAAUAGUGAAAGACGGUUUUGCUGUCACUUAUAGAUGGAUCCGCGCCGCAUUAGCUAGUUGGUAAGGUAACGGCUUACCAAGGCAACGAGGCCUAGCCGACCUGAGAGGGGGAGCGGCCACGAUGGGACGGAGAGACGGACCAGACUUCUGAGAGAGGCAGCAGUAGGGCAUCAUGCAGAAGGGGCGAAAGCCGGACGGAGGAACGACGCGUGAGGGAGGAAGGUCUUGGGAGCGAAAAACUCUGUUAUGAGGGAAGAAGAAAUGUGUAAGUAACUAGGCACGUCGAGACGGAACCGAAUCAGAAAGCCACGGCUAACUACG
rnacentral:rRNA from 1 species